rnacentral:rRNA from 1 species
AAGCGCUUGCAACCAGACUUGCGCGCGAUGGUUCCCCCUUCCUUCUGGUUGGGCUACUCCGUCGUGUCCAGGCCAGCAUCGGUUCAGGUGGCGGGAUAAAGGCCUUGGGAAUGUAGCUUCUUUCGGGGAGUGUUAUAGCCCUCGGUGCAAUGCCGCCUACCUAGACCGAGGACCGCGCUUCGGCUAGGAUGCUGGCGUAAUGGUUGUAAGCGA